UGGAUUCCACUUUUAACCUGUCACUGGA
rnacentral:piRNA from 1 species